rnacentral:rRNA from 1 species
GAUGAACGCUGGCGGCGUGCUUAACACAUGCAAGUCGAACGAUGAUCUCCAGCUUGCUGGGGGAUUAGUGGCGAACGGGUGAGUAACACGUGAGUAACCUGCCCUUGACUCUGGGAUAAGCCUGGGAAACUGGGUCUAAUACCGGAUACGACCGCUCCACGCAUGUGUGGUGGUGGAAAGCUUUUGCGGUUUUGGAUGGACUCGCGGCCUAUCAGCUUGUUGGUGGGGUAAUGGCCUACCAAGGCGACGACGGGUAGCCGGCCUGAGAGGGUGACCGGCCACACUGGGACUGAGACACGGCCCAGACUCCUACGGGAGGCAGCAGUGGGGAAUAUUGCACAAUGGGCGCAAGCCUGAUGCAGCGACGCCGCGUGAGGGAUGACGGCCUUCGGGUUGUAAACCUCUUUCAGUAGGGAAGAAGCGAAAGUGACGGUACCUGCAGAAGAAGCGCCGGCUAACUACGUGC